rnacentral:rRNA from 1 species
GACAGAGGGUGCGAACGUUGUUCGGAAUUACUGGGCGUAAAGCGAGUGUAGGCGGUUUGGUAAGUCGGAUGUGAAAGCCCCGGGCUCAACCCGGGAAGUGCACUCGAUACUGCCAAGCUAGAGUAUCGGAGAGGUUGGUGGAAUUCUCGGUGUAGAGGUGAAAUUCGUAGAUAUCGAGAGGAACACCGGCGGCGAAGGCGGCCAACUGGACGAAUACUGACGCUGAGACUCGAAAGCGUGGGGAGCAAGCAGG